rnacentral:rRNA from 1 species
CAGCCGCCGCGGUAAUACGAAGGGUGCAAGCGUUAAUCGGAAUUACUGGGCGUAAAGCGUGCGUAGGCGGUGAGUUAAGUCUGUUGUGAAAUCCCCGGGCUCAACCUGGGAAUGGCAUUGGAUACUGGCAAGCUAGAGUGUGUCAGAGGAUGGUGGAAUUCCCGGUGUAGCGGUGAAAUGCGUAGAGAUCGGGAGGAACAUCAGUGGCGAAGGCGGCCAUCUGGGACAACACUGACGCUGAGGCACGAAAGCGUGGGGAGCAAACAGGAUUAGAUACCCCCGUAGUCCCUGUCUCUUAUAC